rnacentral:rRNA from 1 species
AUUGAACGCUGGCGGCAGGCCUAACACAUGCAAGUCGAGCGGAUGAGAGGAGCUUGCUUCUCGAUUCAGCGGCGGACGGGUGAGUAAUGCCUAGGAAUCUGCCUGGUAGUGGGGGACAACGUUUCGAAAGGAACGCUAAUACCGCAUACGUCCUACGGGAGAAAGCAGGGGACCUUCGGGCCUUGCGCUAUCAGAUGAGCCUAGGUCGGAUUAGCUAGUUGGUGAGGUAAUGGCUCACCAAGGCGACGAUCCGUAACUGGUCUGAGAGGAUGAUCAGUCACACUGGAACUGAGACACGGUCCAGACUCCUACGGGAGGCAGCAGUGGGGAAUAUUGGACAAUGGGCGAAAGCCUGAUCCAGCCAUGCCGCGUGUGUGAAGAAGGUCUUCGGAUUGUAAAGCACUUUAAGUUGGGAGGAAGGGUUGUAGAUUAAUACUCUGCAAUUUUGACGUUACCGACAGAAUAAGCACCGGCUAACUCUGAGCCAGCCGCCGCUGUAAGAC